AUUCCUUCUGAACUGAGUUUCAUCCUGAAUCAAUAAAUAUAUCAGCUAAGAGGAAUUUCGGAUUAUAGGUCAAUCUGUACAAAUUGGGAAAUUGAUUUUUCAGCAAACCAUAACCAUCCCAAUUAUCUUCCCAAAAGUCCGAGCAACAUAGGUUUUAGGUGCCCAAAAGCCCUCUCUUCCAUAAAUCACCUCUACCACUUCUUUCCAGGGAACUUUUUUCCCAUCAUUAAACCUCCAUAGCCAUUUACUUAGCAAGCUUUGAUUAUGAGGUCUAAGGUUUCUAACUCUCAGACCCCCUUCCUUCUUAUGUUUUGUCACAAUGCUCCAUUUAACUGAAUGGUUUUUCCUCCUUUCUGCAUUGCCUUCCCAU